rnacentral:pre_miRNA from 1 species
UUAAUAGUAUUAUAUGCGUGACUUAUGUUUUUAAUUUUUUUCAAAAAAAAAUUAAAAUAACACGGACAAUCAAAGUUGGGCACGAAAACUCAUAGCUGUACUUAAA